CUUUUUUUUGUCUUUUUCGGGUCAGCACGUGCUAAUUCGAGUGAUAUUUUGCAGGUGAAGGCCUGACGGGGCGUAAUCCAUCCGUGUCCACCGCCGUCUGAAACUGCAAGAAAACACAACUUCAGCCAAUCCGGUGAUGGAGGACGGAGGUAACGUCCGCGGUCGGCCAUGCUGGAGGUCCUCAGCUCCACCAACAGCUGUUAACAAGGGAUUAUGGGAACACGGAGACGGACGCAGUACUUCGAACUGUGCAGAUAAAAAGGUAGCCGAUCAGCCCCGUAAAACGCCGCAGACAUAACAGCCGAUGGUCUCCAGAUGAGACGCGUCUUUGUGGGAAGCAGCUGUUCAGAGACUGAAGCUUCAGCGUCACCGUUCCUGCUUCUGCUCGAAACCAUGAGGACACUCGCAAGUAUUCGGCCGAACACAUGAACCGCCGUUGAGACACACCGGAGAGCAGAGAGCUGGAGGGAGAGACGAGAGCGUCAC